CAGACCUCUAAUCGGGAAAGAUCACCCGCUGAGUUUAAGCAUAUCACUAAGCGGAGGAGAAGAAACUAACCAGGAUUUCCCUAGUAACGGCGAGCGAACCGGAAAGAGCCCAGCUUGAAAAUCGUGGUGCCUCGCACCUCGAAUUGUAGUCUG
rnacentral:rRNA from 1 species